UACAGAGGGUGCAAGCGUUAAUCGGAAUUACUGGGCGUAAAGCGCGCGUAGGUGGUUUGUUAAGUUGGAUGUGAAAUCCCCGGGCUCAACCUGGGAACUGCAUUCAAAACUGACUGACUAGAGUAUGGUAGAGGGUGGUGGAAUUUCCUGUGUAGCGGUGAAAUGCGUAGAUAUAGGAAGGAACACCAGUGGCGAAGGCGACCACCUGGACUAGUACUGACACUGAGGUGCGAAAGCGUGGGGAGCAAACAGG
rnacentral:rRNA from 1 species